AGUGAACGCUGGCGGUAGGCCUAACACAUGCAAGUCGAACGGCAGCACAGUAAGAGCUUGCUCUUACGGGUGGCGAGUGGCGGACGGGUGAGGAAUACAUCGGAAUCUACUUUUUCGUGGGGGAUAACGUAGGGAAACUUACGCUAAUACCGCAUACGACCUACGGGUGAAAGCAGGGGAUCUUCGGACCUUGCGCGAUUGAAUGAGCCGAUGUCGGAUUAGCUAGUUGGCGGGGUAAAGGCCCACCAAGGCGACGAACCGUAGCUGGUCUGAGAGGAUGAUCAGCCACACUGGAACUGAGACACGGUCCAGACUCCUACGGGAGGCAGCAGUGGGGAAUAUUGGACAAUGGGCGCAAGCCUGAUCCAGCCAUGCCGCGUGGGUGAAGAAGGCCUUCGGGUUGUAAAGCCCUUUUGUUGGGAAAGAAAAGCAGCAGGUUAAUACCCCGCUGUUCUGACGGUACCCAAAGAAUAAGCACCGGCUAACUUCGUG
rnacentral:rRNA from 1 species